GCUCAGGACGAACGCUGGCGGCGUGCCUAAUACAUGCAAGUCGAACGCACGAAGUUGAAGAGCUUGCUCUUUAACCAAGUGAGUGGCGGACGGGUGAGUAACACGUGGGUAACCUGCCCAUUAGAGGGGGAUAACAUUCGGAAACGGAUGCUAAUACCGCAUAGUUUCAGGAAUCGCAUGAUUCUUGAAGGAAAGGUGGCUUCGGCUACCACUAAUGGAUGGACCCGCGGCGUAUUAGCUAGUUGGUGAGGUAAUGGCUCACCAAGGCAAUGAUACGUAGCCGACCUGAGAGGGUGAUCGGCCACACUGGGACUGAGACACGGCCCAGACUCCUACGGGAGGCAGCAGUAGGGAAUCUUCCGCAAUGGACGAAAGUCUGACGGAGCAACGCCGCGUGAGUGAAGAAGGUUUUCGGAUCGUAAAACUCUGUUGUUAAAGAAGAACAAGGAUGAGAGUAACUGCUCAUCCCCUGACGGUA
rnacentral:rRNA from 1 species